UACGUAGGAUGCAAGCGUUGUCCGGAAUCACUGGGCGUAAAGGGAGCGUAGGCGGGUUUCUAAGUCAGGUGUUUAAUCCCGGGGCCCAACCCCGGACAGGCACUUGAAACUGGGAAUCUUGAAUAGGGGAGAGGUCAGUGGAAUUGGAGGUGUAGCGGUGGAAUGCGUAGAGAUCUCCAAGAACACCAGUUGCGAAGGCGGCUGACUGGACCCAUAUUGACGCUGAGGCUCGAAAGCAUGGGGAGCAAACAGG
rnacentral:rRNA from 1 species